CCCAAUUCAAUUUCUGGUUCCGGUCUAAUCUACUUCCUGGUUCGGAUUUGAUUAAAUUUCUGGUUCAGGUCUGGUUCACCUUCUGGUUCGGGUUUGACCCAAUUGCUCUCUGGUUCAGAUCAGGGCCCAUCUGCAUUCAGACCCAAAGUUUAAUUAGUUUCUGGAUCAGGCCCGUGGCCUGAUUCAAUUACUGAGCCCAUUUGUAUUCAGGCCCAGAAACACAAUUAGUUAAUUUAUAAUUAAUCCUUAUCAGUUCUAAUUAAUUUAAAAGGGAGCCUAGUCUCAAACUAUAUUCAAUUUAGUCCCUAUAUUAAAAUUUGAGCUCUUCAAGCCCAGUUAGUUUUUGUUUUAAGAACACUAGGCUUGAAUCAGGGCCCAGCCCGGCUUCAGGCUUCUAAAGCCAAGUUUAUUUGAAGCCCACUCCGGAAUCAGGCCCAUUUCGGCCCACAGCCAUUUUUUAUUUAUUUUUCUUUCUUCUUUUCUUUUCCUUCUUUCCUUCUUUUCUUUUCUUUUCUUUUCUUUUUCUUGUCUUUUCCUUUUUUCUUUCUUUUUCUUCUCUUCUCCCUUCCCGAAGCUUCCUCCCUCUUCUUUCUUUUCUUCUUCUCUUCUCUUCUUUCUUCUUCCCUUCCCGAUCUCCUCCUCCUCUUCUCCUCUUCUCGCAUGAAACUAGGAGGCGAGCUCGGAAGGGCGCUCGGGAGGGAGACAGUCCGAGGUAGGGGGUGCCGACGGCCGGCCAACAUCACCCGCGGCUCAGCUUGUAGCGGCCGAUUCCCCCUUUCUUCUUCAUCCUUCUUCACUUCAGAAGGGAGGAGGGCGGCUCCCCCUCACGGAAGAGGUCUGUCGCGACCAGCGGCGCCCACGGCCGAACCCGUGGUCGCGCCCGCAGCGGCCGCCCCCCUCUCUGUUCUUUGGGGUCGGAACCAACCCCUUUGAGAAGAAGGGGCCUCCGGCCCACCGCAGCUCCGGCCGAAGGCCAGCGGAGCCUGCAGUCGGAGCCGGCGGCUCCUUCGUUCUCACUGUAGUGGGGGAGAAACCCACCACUGUAGCUAUGGCUGCGACCGAACUCACUGCAGCCAAAGGAGAGUUGUAGACGAUCUCCCCGCGAUUGGAAGAGGGGAGUAAGAGCCUCCGGCCAUCGACGGCUGCAGCCGAGCUCAUCGUGCCGGAUCCGCGACCGAGGACAUCCGAUAAGCUCUUCUCCCUUCCUUCCCUCUUCUUCUUCUUCUUCCUUUUUUUUCAUUUCAUUCUUUCCUUUUCUUCUUUUGAUCUCUUCUAUUACGUUGUCUCUCUGUUUUGUUGUUCCAUGAUUAAACUAGAUCUACUUGCAUAAUACAAGGGAAGAAGAAGUCAGGGACUUACCUAGCUCCGGGACAACUCCGUGAUGUUCCCUCCGGUGGUUCAAUUGCGGUGACGAGCUGGAUUGUCUCCUCCUCCGUCGCUCCCGAUCCAGCUCCUUUGGACAGAAGGAGAAGGGAAUGAGAGGCAAUGAGAGGGUGAUGGAUGAAGCAUCUCUGAGAAGACUCCUAGGUUCUUAUAGCUCUAGUGUGGGGGAGUGGGGGAGAAGAAUGGUGGUGAUCGCGGCUGUCAGGCGGUUGUAACCGCCUCAGCUGGCGAUGAUCAUUUCUGGGUCUCCAAAUGGGCCGGUCAUGUUGGGCUUGGCCCAUUAGCUCACUGUCUUAUGGACUGGUUUUCACAUUCUUCCCGCCUUAAAAUAAUUUCGUCCUCGAAAUUUACAUUCCUUAAUUCUUAAACAAAUGAAGUUACUUAGUCUUUUAUCUAACAUUCUACCACGUUUCCGCUGCGCACUCUGAUUCAAAACACUAAAAUCUUUGGAUUCACUAAUAACUUUUGAUCAAAAUACUACUUGUAUUAUGAACUAAAGAGAUCUAUAUUUUCAAUUUUCCAAGUAAAGCCAAAAAAAAAUUGAUUCUUGUCCCCUAAUUUACCUCGAAUAUAUCUAAGAUAGAUUAACUCUCAAGUCAAUUGUUCCAUUUAAAAUCAUCAUAUGGGCUUGUUACUAUAAUUCCAAAAUGUAUUGAAUCUUAAUUCUUUUAUCAAUUCAACUGGACGAUUCCAAGUCAAAUUCUUAUAACUAGAUUUUUUUUUUUUUAAUGCUCCACCAAAUUACAAGACUUUAAUUCAACACAAAUGAGUCAAACCUCAAAGAACUUCCAUCAUAACCAUCUAAGUCUUUAAAAUUUAAAUUUUUCAUGCAAAUUUAGGUUUCAACAAUAACCUCAACAAUAUUGACAAAAGACCCUAGAUUAACUUAUAAUUCCAAACUUUGAAUUGAAAUUCCAUAUACAUCAUACAAUCCCCGAUAAACAUGAAUAAGAUCUAUUAUUUGGAUCCAAAGACGAUAAUUAAAAUUAUUAGUAAUUCCACCAAGAUGAAUACAAUAACAUCAAUUCUUAAAUAAGAAAAUAGACCUAUUUGCAAUAACUCACAAUAUAUUUUUCUUCAACAUAAGAGUUUCAUUCAUACUCCCCAAACAUGUUCAAACCUCGAAGAGUAUUAGGUAGCAUAAAAAUCCUUUAUAGCUUAAAUCUUAAACAAUUUCUUAUGAAGAGAUCCUAACUUGCCACAAAAUGAUUAACUUCAAGCUAGAAGUAAUAUUACAAUAUACCCCCAUAUCAAAAUGAACUUCCAAAUCGACUAAUAAACAAAUAAUUACAUUGUAUGAUAAUAUUCCAUGAUCAGUCCUCUUUCAUUAAAUUUUGGUCAAAAUCCAAUUAAUCAUAACCUAAAAUAUCCACCGAGAGGACUCCCAACAUAGUUGAUCCACACUUUGGCUACGAGCCCAGUUAGCAAGCAUUUCAAUUUCAAUAAGUAUCUCCAAAAUCAAAGUCUCCACUCAAUAACAAAGAUCCCUUGUCAAAUCAUAAACUUAAACUUGAGGUUAAACUAACACAUCAAAUAGUAUCCAAUAAUUAUGAGAAAGAUCUAAUAGCCCAAUCCAACAUGGAAAUUCGAAUAGCUAGAAUUCCCCACUCAAUAUGCACUUAAGAAUUUAAUCCACUAAUAGAAUACAACUAUUUGCAAUAUCCAAGUGUGCCAAUACCAAUUAUAAUCCACAUACGGAUUUAACCUUGAAGAACAAUCCUUUAUAAUACUAUAUAAAAUAAAAUCCUUCUUGACUCAUUCUAAUUCUAUGACCAAUCCAUGUACAAAUCACACUCUAAUAAUCACAUCCAAAUCUAUAUCAAUUUAAACUUUUGAGUCAUUUAUACAAUAUCCGAACAUAGUAUAACCGCUAUGCCAUAUUUAACCUUCCUACACUUAUCUUAGAUCAAACAUCUCUCAUCAUGAUCAAAAACAUCUUAUCCAGUACUUCCGUACUCAUCGAAUACCAAACCCGGUAUUUACAAUGCUUAGUGAUCUUUCACUUAAGCACUGAAUGUAAUUUUACUACUUUUAUCAUGUCCCAAGUGAUUAUAACCUUAAGCUAUGAUACAUUUCUGUUGCAAAUCCUAGUGAUCUUAAACUUAUUCUCUGAUUCUAAUUUUGUCACAAUUCUAUGUGAUCUUAACCUAAGCUCUGGUAGUUUUCCAUUCACAAUUCACAAUGAUCUUAACCUAGGCUUUGAUAGCUUUUCUGUCACAAUCACAUCUCUAGAAUGGCUGAUAUUAGCCCUACAUUUCUUCUUUUUGAUGCUCAUUGUCACCUAAGACAAUAUAACCCAAAAUUAUUAUUUUAUUAUUUAUUAUUGUUAUUCCAAUUAUGUGAAAGCUAACUUAACUAUCCAUUCCAAUGAUUAGUCUUAAAGUUUUUAAUCAUGGUUAAAAUUAUUGCUCUGAUACCACUUAAUGUCACGCCCCGAAUUCGGAUCAUGACACGGCCGUGCUAUUGCCAAGUUAAGCAUACAAUAAUACGCAGCCUCUUUAAAACUUCAAUUACUAAACAACUAUAUUCAUGAAAGUCAUUAAAUGUUCAGGUAUUAAAAUUCAUACAUAGCUUAUAAAAAUAAUAUCAUCAUUUAAUAUUUUAUUAUUCCCAUAACCCUGAGGCAUGUCACGCUCCUUGUUCCUAGCAUCUCCUAUUCAUCUGUAAGAACAUAAAUAAAUGGGUGUGAGCUAUAAAGCUCAGUAAGUAACAAUGCAUAAUUUUAUCAGAUCAAGCAUAAUAUUUUUGUAUGCCAAUGCACUAUUUGAAGAACAAAUAGUUGUAAUAAAGAAAGCAUUUUCCAAAUCAAACCAGACGUAAACAUUUUGUCUUUAUUCCCUGCUUUAAAAUCCGUACUCAUCAUUAUUCUUGCUUUGAAAUCCAUACUUAUCAUUAUUCAUGCUUUGAAAUAUGUACUAUUAUUAUUCAUGCUUUGAAAUCUGUGCUUGUAAUAAAGUAAACAUUUCAUAUAAUCAAAUCUUUGCCAUAAUCAAACUAGUUAUAAAACUAUGCCUGUCCAUUCAUGCAACUUCAUAAAUAUGAUUAUGCAUCAUAAAACUUUUGCCAUUUAUGCAACAUAAAACUUUUGCCAUUAUUCCAUACCUUGAAAUUCAUACUCUCAGAUGGUAGUGUAGCUAUGGCCGCUCUUAUUCCCACGGCAAGGCCUUUACCACUGCAGGGUCAUCUUCCAGUUACUAUUACCCACAGGCGGGGGUCGUAAAGCUAAGUUACUUUUACCCACUGGCGGAGGUCAUAUGCCUAGUUACUGUUACCCACUGGCGGGUGUCAUACAUAGCGAUCUGAGAGUUCUUAAAACAUAUCAUGCUUUUCAUAAAUCUUUUCUCAUAGAUCCAUUGGAAAGUGAAUAAUGGCAUCAUGCUAAUAAAACUCAUGAUCUUGCUGAAAACUUUAUUUUUCCAUGCAUCUUUCUACAUCAUCAUAAUCAUGUGUACAUAAUAUAAUAAUAAUAAUAAUAAUGAUGGAUGCUAUGUAUCCAAAAUCAUGUAAUCAUUUGCUAACACAUGCUUGAUCCUAAUUUUGUGAAAACAUAAAUAAUCAUAUACAAUUUCAUAAUCGAGUAAUCACAAGUAUUUGAUAAAACAUAAGAUUACAUCAUGUACUUUUCCACAAUUCUUAUACAUAAUUCCAAUUGCAUAAAUAAUACUUUUUCAUCUUAUAAAACGUGAUACAUGAUCCAUAAUAAGAUUAAGACAUGUUACUUACAUUAAUUUGCCCAUCAAAUGCCAAUUCUCCAAUACCUAGCAAGAUCAUUAAAUUACAUGUCACUUACAUAUUUAAUUUCUAUUUAUUUAUAAUCUUAAAGUCAUUUACAACCCAUCCAUAGGACUCAAUUUCAUUUUCAGGUCCAUAGCCCAAUUUAAUUUAUGGUUCAAGCCCAUGGCCCAAUUCAAUUUCUGGUUCCGGUCUAAUCUACUUCCUGGUUUGGAUUUGAUUAAAUUCCUGGUUCAGGUCUGGUUCACCUUCUGGUUCGGGUUUGACCCAAUUGCUCUCUGGUUUAGAUCAGGGCCCAUUUGCAUUCAGACCCAAAGUUUAAUUGGUUUCUGGAUCAGGCCCGUGGCCUGAUUCAAUUACUGGGCCCAUUUGUAUUCAGGCCCAGAAACACAAUUAGUUAAUUUAUAAUUAAUCCUUAUCGGUUCUAAUUAAUUUAAAAGGGAGCCUAGUCUCAAACUAUAUUCAAUUUAGUCCCUAUAUUAAAAUUUGAGCUCUUCAAGCCCAGUUAGUUUUGAUUUUAAGAAUACUAGGCUUGAAUCGGGGCCCAGCCCGGCUUCAGGCUUCUAAAGCCAAGUUUAUUUGAAGCCCACUCCGGAAUCAGGCCCAUUUCGGCCCACAGCCAUUUUUUUUAUUUAUUUUUCUUUCUUCUUUUCUUUUCCUUCUUUUCUUUUCUUUUCUUUUCUUUUUCUUGUCUUUUCCUUUUUUCUUUUUUUUUCUUCUCUUCUCCCUUCCCGAAGCUUCCUCCCUCUUCUUUCUUUUCUUCUUCUCUUCUCCUUCUUUCUUCUUCCCUUCCCGAUCUCCUCCUCCUCUUCUCCUCUUCUCCCAUGAAACUAGGAGGCGAGCUCGGAAGGGCGCUCGGGAGGGAGACGGUCCGAGGUAGGGGGUGCCGACGGCCGGCCAACAUCACCCGCGGCUCAGCUUGUAGCGGCCGAUUCCCCCUUUCUUCUUCAUCCUUCUUCACUUCAGAAGGGAGGAGGGCGGCUCUCCCUCACGGAAGAGGUCUGUCGCGACCAGCGGCGCCCACGGCCGAACCCGUGGUCGCGCCCGCAGCGGCCGGCCCCCUCUCUGUUCUUUGGGGUCGGAAUCAACCCCCUUGAGAAGAAGGGGCCUCCGGCCCACCGCGGCUCCGGCCGAAGGCCAGCGGAGCCUGCAGUCGGAGCCGGCGGCUCCUUCGUUCUCACUGUAGUGGGGGAGAAACCCACCACUGUGGCUAUGGCUGCGACCGAACUCACUGCAGCCAAAGGAGAGUUGUAGACGAUCUCCCCGCGAUUGGAAGAGGGGAGUAAGAGCCUCCGGCCAUCGCCGGCUGCAACCGAGCUCAUCGUGCCGGAUCCGCGACCGAGGACAUCCGAUAAGCUCUUCUCCCUUCCUUCCCUCUUCUUCUUCUUUCCUUUUUUUUUUUUUCAUUUCAUUCUUUCCUUUUCUUCUUUUGAUCUCUUCUAUUACGUUGUCUCUCUGUUUUGUUGUUCCAUGAUUAAACUAGAUCUACUUGCAUAAUACAAGGGAAGAAGAAGUCAGG
rnacentral:lncRNA from 1 species